GAGUUUGAACCUGGCUCAGGAUGAACGCUGGCGGCGUGCUUAACACAUGCAAGUCGAACGAAGCAGAAGGAUGCUUGCACCCUUUUGACUGAGUGGCGGACGGGUGAGUAACACGUAGAGAACCUACCUUACACAGGGGGACAACGGCUGGAAACGGCUGCUAAUACCGCAUAAGCACCCAGUUUCGCAUGAAACAGAGUGAAAAGAGUAAAUCGGUGUAAGAUGGCUCUGCGUCUGAUUAGCUAGUUGGUGGGGUAAAGGCUCACCAAGGCGACGAUCAGUAGCCGGCCUGAGAGGGCGACCGGCCACAUUGGGACUGAGACACGGCCCAGACUCCUACGGGAGGCAGCAGUGGGGAAUCUUGCACAAUGGGGGAAACCCUGAUGCAGCGACGCCGCGUGAGCGAAGAAGUAUUUCGGUAUGUAAAGCUCUAUCAGCAGGGAAUAAAAAAGAAGGUACCUGACGAAGAAGCCCCGGCUAACUACGUGCCAGCAGCCGCGGUAAUACGUAGGGGGCAAGCGUUAUCCGGAUUUACUGGGUGUAAAGGGAGCGUAGACGGUGCGUUAAGUCAGAAGUGAAAGCCCAUUGCUCAACGAUGGAGCUGCUUUUGAAACUAACGAACUAGAGUACAGGAGAGGUAAGUGGAAUUCCUAGUGUAGCGGUGAAAUGCGUAGAGAUUAGGAGGAACACCAGUGGCGAAGGCGGCUUACCGGACUGAAACUGACGUUGAGGCUCG
rnacentral:rRNA from 1 species